ACACAGCACGUUGAAACACCGAUUGUCGUGCGAUCAUUGAAGUUAAGCAUCGUCGAGCAUAGUUAGUAAAUUGAUGGGUGACCGCUUGGGAAUACCGAGUUCUGUAA